GACGAACGCUGGCGGCGUGCCUAAUACAUGCAAGUCGAGCGGAAGUUGGAGAGCUUGCUCUUCAACUUUAGCGGCGGACGGGUGAGUAACACGUGGGCAACCUGCCCUGCAGAUCGGGAUAACUCCGGGAAACCGGUGCUAAUACCGAAUAGUUUUCGCCACCUCCUGGUGGCGUACGGAAAGACGGUUUCGGCUGUCACUGCAGGAUGGGCCCGCGGCGCAUUAGCUAGUUGGUGGGGUAACGGCCCACCAAGGCGACGAUGCGUAGCCGACCUUGGAGGGUGUUCGGCCACACUGGGACUGAGACACGGCCCAGACUCCUACGGGGGGCAGCAGUAGGGAAUCUGCCGCAAUGGACGAAAGUCUGACGGAGCAACGCCGCGUGAGUGACGAAGGUUUUCGGAUCGUAAAACUCUGUUGUGAGGGAAGAACAAGUACCACUUAACUACUGGUACCUUGACGGUACCUCACCAGAAAGCCACGGCUAACUACGUGCCAGCAGCCGCCGUAA
rnacentral:rRNA from 1 species